UUAAAUUCAAAAAAUCUUCAAAACUUUCAACAACGGAUCUCUUGGUUCUCGCAUCGAUGAAGAACGCAGCGAAAUGCGAUAAGUAAUAUGAAUUGCAGAUUUUCGUGAAUCAUCGAAUCUUUGAACGCACAUUGCGCCCUCUGGUAUUCCAGAGGGCAUGCCUGUUUGAGCGUCAUUUC
rnacentral:rRNA from 1 species